GUAUUUAUAAAUUAGGGUUCCUAAUCAAGAAAUUAGGGUUUUCUAAAUUUGAAAUUAGGGUUUACUAAUUAAUUAAGCUUUACCCUAAUUAAUAUUAUAAUUAAUAGCACUUAAGCAAUAUAAUAAUCCUUUAAGUUCCCAGAUUAGGGUUUCAUACAUCGAAUUAGGGUUUCGAAUUCCCGGAACUGAAAUUAGGGUUUCCAGAACCGUUUUCUAGGGUUUCUUGUUAAUCGUUAGGGUUUU
rnacentral:lncRNA from 1 species